rnacentral:rRNA from 1 species
UUGAACGCUGGCGGAAUGCUUUACACAUGCAAGUCGAGCGGCAGCGCGGGGCAACCUGGCGGCGAGCGGCGAACGGGUGAGUAAUGCAUCGGAACAUGUCCUGUCGUGGGGGAUAGCCCGGCGAAAGCCGGAUUAAUACCGCAUACGUCCGAGAGGAGAAAGUGGGGGACCGCAAGGCCUCACGCGAUUGGGUUGGCCGAUGUCCGAUUAGCUAGUUGGUGAGGUAAAGGCUCACCAAGGCGAUGAUCGGUAGCUGGUCUGAGAGGAUGAUCAGCCACACUGGGACUGAGACACGGCCCAGACUCCUACGGGAGGCAGCAGUGGGGAAUUUUGGACAAUGGGGGCAACCCUGAUCCAGCCAUUCCGCGUGAGUGAAGAAGGCCUUCGGGUUGUAAAGCUCUUUUGUCCGGAACGAAACGGGCUUGGUGAAUAGCCAAGUCUACUGACGGUACCGGAAGAAUAAGCACCGGCUAACUACGUGCCAGCAGCCGCGGUAAUACGUAGGGUGCGAGCGUUAAUCGGAAUUACUGGGCGUAAAGCGUGCGCAGGCGGUUUUGUAAGCCAGAUGUGAAAUCCCCGGGCUUAACCUGGGAAUGGCAUUUGGGGCUGCAAGGCUUGAGUGCGGCAGAGGAGACUGGAAUUCCUGGUGUAGCAGUGAAAUGCGUAGAUAUCAGGAGGAAUACCGAUGGCGAAGGCAGGUCUCUGGGCUGACUCUGACGCUCAUGCACGAAAGCGUGGGGAGCAAACAGGAUUAGAUACCCUGGUAGUCCACGCCCUAAACGAUGUCGACUGGUUGUUGGGGGUUUGACACUCUCAGUAACGAAGCUAACGCGUGAAGUCGACCGCCUGGGGAGUACGGCCGCAAGGUUAAAACUCAGAGGAAUUGACGGGGACCCGCACAAGCGGUGGAUUAUGUGGAUUAAUUCGAUGCAACGCGAAAAAACCUUACCUACCCUUGACAUGUCCGGAAGCCUGCUGAGAGGCGGGUGUGCCCGAAAGGGAACCGGAACACAGGUGCUGCAUGGCUGUCGUCAGCUCGUGUCGUGAGAUGUUGGGUUAAGUCCCGCAACGAGCGCAACCCUUGUCAUUAGUUGCUACCCGCAAGGGAGCACUCUAAUGAGACUGCCGGUGACAAACCGGAGGAAGGUGGGGAUGACGUCAAGUCCUCAUGGCCCUUAUGGGUAGGGCUUCACACGUAAUACAAUGGCGCGUACAGAGGGUUGCCAAGCCGCGAGGUGGAGCCAAUCCCUUAAAGCGCGUCGUAGUCCGGAUAGGAGUCUGCAACUCGACUCCUUGAAGUCGGAAUCGCUAGUAAUCGCGGAUCAGCAUGUCGCGGUGAAUACGUUCCCGGGUCUUGUACACACCGCCCGUCACACCAUGGGAGUGGGUUUCACCAGAAGCCGGUCGCCUAACCGCAAGGGGGGCGCCGACCACGGUGAGAUUCAUGACUGGGGUG